rnacentral:rRNA from 1 species
AGAAUCAACGCUGGCGGCGUGCCUAACACAUGCAAGUCGAACGAGAAAGUGGAGCAAUCCAUGAGUAAAGUGGCGCACGGGUGAGUAACACGUGACUAACCUACCCUUGAGUGGGGGAUAACCUAGAGAAAUCUUAGCUAAUACCGCAUAAUACCCACGGGUCAAAGCAGCAAUGCGCUUGGAGAGGAGUUCGCGGCCGAUUAGUUAGUUGGCGGGGUAAUGGCCCACCGAAGACGAUGAUCGGUA